rnacentral:lncRNA from 1 species
CUUUUGGUAGGUUAGCUCUCUUCUACUCUGGAUAACCAACAAGGAUCUACUGUAUAGUACAGGGAACUCUGCUCAGUGUUAUAUGGCAGCCUGGAUGGGAGGGGAGUUGGGGAGAAUGGAUACACGUAUAUGCAUGACUGAGUCCCUUUCCUGCGUGCCUGAAACUAUCACAACAUUGUUAAUGAUCACAGUGGUUAAUAGUACAAAAUAAAAUGUUAAAAAAAAGAGAAAUGGAAUGGUUUCACAUAUUAUACAACACAAUAAACACAGAAAUGAGUAAUAGGCCUCACAGUCCAUAUCUACCUCUUGGUGUCAAUAUAUAAAAGGACAAGAAAACAAUUAGGUGAUGAAACAUUUAUUUUCCUUUGAAUUCAUCCUCAUUCUUACUAGUCUACAUUAUUUUUAAAACUAUUGUUGAAUUGCUUCGGUAAAUUCUAUGAUGUUGUAAAUUAUUUUCGUUCUCCUCACAUUAUAUAGAGAAAGGGUCUCCAGACAGUCUCACAUCAUUACGAAGUAAAUUAGCUCAUUUCAUUGAUUCUAUUUUGAAAUUCAAAAAAAUGUAUCUCAAAUAACAGAAAUAUAUGAGAUAUAAAUGAAAAUCAAGACAGCAGCUCAGUCACUAUUUAAUCCUUUCCUGAACAUGCACUGGUAUAAUGUCAUUUAAUAUGAAACUUAUAUUCCAUGCAGACAUCCCUAGAUCUAUUUUUCAUAUACACAUGUAGCAUAUGGUUUAUGCAAAUAUAUCCGAUAAUUAAAAAUUAAUAUAAUUACAAUCUCACUGGAAUAAACAGUUACUGAGUGUUAUAAACAAGGCCUCUGCUAUUAUCCGCCUGCUACUAUAUACUAUUGUGUCUGUACAUAUAUUUACAAACUCAUCUGUACAUAUAUAUAUGUAUAUCACAUUAACUCUGGAAUUAAAAUCGAAUACGGGCUUCGUAGCAAAAUGUGGACGGUAAAAUAUGUUUACACAGCCAAGCAAAACCAAAAUCUUGGGGAGUGGGCAGGGCAGCUUUCUAUUCUGUCCUGAAAACUGCAACAGGGCGCAAUUGCCUGGAGUCGGGCUUUUCCUUGCCGGGGGUGGUCGUCCCAGGCUUAAGUUAGUUAUUUCGGAGAUUUCAGGAGAAUCUCAGGGGCUCUCGAAUACCAGAGCGGGAAGGACGGUCGGGGCCUCUGCGUCUUUAAACAGGGUUACUCCUCUGCUCGGGUGA